rnacentral:rRNA from 1 species
CUGCGCUGCUUACCUGCAAGUCGUGCGGAAAGGCCCUUCGGGGUACUCGAGCGGCGAACGGGUGAGUAACACGUGAGUAACCUGCCUCUAGCUUUGGGAUAACCCUCGGAAACGGGGGCUAAUACCGGGUAUGACUUCCCGCCGCAUGGUGGGGGGUGGAAAGGGUUUCCGGCUAGGGAUGGACUCGCGGCCUAUCAGCUUGUUGGUGGGGUGAUGGCCUACCAAGGCGACGACGGGUAGCCGGCCUGAGAGGGCGACCGGCCACACUGGGACUGAGACACGGCCCAGACUCCUACGGGAGGCAGCAGUGGGGAAUAUUGCACAAUGGGCGAAAGCCUGAUGCAGCGACGCCGCGUGAGGGAAGACGGCCUUCGGGUUGUAAACCUCUUUCGACCCUGACGAAGCGCAAGUGACGGUAGGGGGAGAAGAAGCGCCGGCCAACUACGUGCCAGCAGCCGCGGUAAGACGUAGGGCGCGAGCGUUGUCCGGAUUUAUUGGGCGUAAAGAGCUCGUAGGCGGCUCGUUGCGUCGGCUGUGAAAACCCAUGGCUUAACCGUGGGCUUGCAGCCGAUACGGGCGGGCUUGAGUUCGGUAGGGGAGACUGGAAUUCCUGGUGUAGCGGUGAAAUGCGCAGAUAUCAGGAGGAACACCGGUGGCGAAGGCGGGUCUCUGGGCCGAUACUGACGCUGAGGAGCGAAAGCGUGGGGAGCGAACAGGAUUAGAUACCCUGGUAGUCCACGCUGUAAACGUUGGGCGCUAGGUGUGGGGGGCCUCUCCGGUUCUCUGUGCCGCAGCUAACGCAUUAAGCGCCCGCCUGGGGAGUACGGCCGCAAGGCU